UACCCUAAGCAAUGGGCAGAGAGACAUCUUGUUAGUGAUAUUGUUCUUAUACGCAUCAGGGGCAGACCAGAUGGCAGACCUUCGUCCAUCCUAGCUUGAUGCCUGGCUUGGUGGCCAACACUGUUUUAUGCCUAGGAUAUGUAA